UUGAUAGUCUACGGCAGGUCUCAACACAGCAAUUCGAGCGGAAACGAGUUAACUGAACUUCGGGGGAACGUUAACGGCUCGAGCGGCGGACGGGUGAGUAAUGCCUGGGAAUUGCCCUGUGUGGGGGUAACCAUUGGAAACGAUGGCUAAUACCGCAUAAUAGCUUCGGCUCAAAGAGGGGGACCUUCGGGCCUCUCGCGUCAGGAUAUGCCCAGGUGGGAUUAGCUAGUUGGUGAGGUAAUGGCUCACCAAGGCGACGAUCCCUAGCUGGUCUGAGAGGAUGAUCAGCCACACUGGAACUGAGACACGGUCCAGACUCCUACGGGAGGCAGCAGUGGGGAAUAUUGCACAAUGGGCGCAAGCCUGAUGCAGCCAUGCCGCGUGUAUGAAGAAGGCCUUCGGGUUGUAAAGUACUUUCAGCAGUGAGGAAGGCAGGGACGUUAAUAGCGGGCUUGUUUGACGUUAGCUGCAGAAGAAGCACCGGCUAACUCCGUGCCAGCAGCCGCGUAAUAA
rnacentral:rRNA from 2 species